rnacentral:rRNA from 1 species
GAUGAACGCUGACAGAAUGCUUAACACAUGCAAGUCUUUGGCGAAGCUGUGCUUGCACAGCCUAGCCAAGGCGGACGGGUGAGUAACGCGUAAGGAACUUGCCCUGCAGUCAGGGAUAACAGACGGAAACGACUGAUAAGACCUGGUAAAGUCAGGCGGACCCAUGUCCAGCCUGAUGAAAAGAGAUGCUGCAGGAGAGCCUUGCGUCCUAUUAGCUUGUUGGUGGGGUAACGGCCCACCAAGGCGAUGAUAGGUAGCCGGCCUGAGAGGGUGGACGGCCACAAGGGGACUGAGAUACGGCCCUUACUCCUACGGGAGGCAGCAGUGGGGAAUAUUGGACAAUGGGGGCAACCCUGAUCCAGCAAUUCUGUGUGCACGAUGAAUGUUUUCGGAUUGUAAAGUGCUUUCAGCAGGGAAGAAAAAAAUGACGGUACCUGCAGAAGAAGCGACGGCUAAAUACGUG